UUAGUUGCCAGCAGUUAGGUUGGGCACUCUAAGGAGACUGCCGGUGACAAACCGGAGGAAGGUGGGGAUGACGUCAAAUCAUCAUGCCCCUUAUGACCUGGGCUACACACGUGCUACAAUGGACGGUACAAAGGGCAGCGAACCCGCGAGGUGGAGCCAAUCCCAAAAAGCCGAUCCCAGUUCGGAUUGUGGGCUGCAACUCGCCCACAUGAAGUUGGAGUUGCUAGUAAUCGCGGAUCAGCAUGCCGCGGUGAAUACGUUCCCGGGCCUUGUACACACCGCCCGUCACACCAUGGGAGUUGGUAACACCCGAAGUCGGUGAGGUAACCUUUUGGAGCCAGCCGCCUAAGGUGGGACAGAUGAUUGGGGUGAAGUCGUAACAAGGUAGCCGUAUCGGAAGGUGCGGCUGGAUCACCUCCUU
rnacentral:rRNA from 2 species